rnacentral:rRNA from 1 species
UACGGAGGGUGCAAACGUUGCUCGGAAUCAUUGGGCGUAAAGCGCACGUAGGCGGUCGGCUAUGUCGGAUGUGAAAGCCUCGGGCUUAACCCGAGAAGGGCAUCCGAAACUGGCCGGCUUGAGUACGGAAGAGGGUCUCGGAAUUCCCGGUGUAGAGGUGAAAUUCGUAGAUAUCGGGAGGGACACCAGUGGCGAAGGCGGAGACCUGGGCCGAUACUGACGCUGAGGUGCGAAAGCGUGGGGAGCAAACAGG